AACUGUGGGGACACGUAAGGAAAGCGGAAGCCGGGAAUGGAGAGCCCGGUGCAAGCGGGGUACCAGCCACUUUGGCAAAUCCGGGUGGCAAUGGGAAGCCGUGAUGCGGAGCGAAAUAAAGUAGCGAAGUCCGUGAGCCAUGCGUCAAGAAAAGCCGCAAUCGUUUAUACCGUACCCGUACCGUAAACCGACACAGGUGGAUGAGGAGAGAAUCCUAAGGCCGGCGGAAGAAGCAUUGUCAAGGAACUCGGCAAAAUGGCCCCGUAACUUAGGGAUAAGGGGUGCCUGGGAAACCAGGCCGCAGAGAAUAGGCUCAAGCAACUGUUUAGCAAAAACACAGGUCUAUGCGAAACCGAAAGGUGAGGUAUAUGGGCUGACGCCUGCCCGGUGCUGGAAGGUUAAGAGGAGAGGUUAGCGGUAACGCGAAGCUUUGAAUUUAAGCCCCAGUAAACGGCGGCCGUAACUAUAACGGUCCUAAGGUAGCGAAAUUCCUUGUCGGGUAAGUUCCGACCCGCACGAAAGGCGUAAUGAUUUGAGCGCUGUCUCGACAAUGCAUCCGGUGAAAUUGAAGUACCAGUGAAGAUGCUGGUUACCUGCGCCAGGACGGAAAGACCCCAUGGAGCUUUACUCCAGUCUGGUACUGGGACUCGGUAUUGCAUGUACAGGAUAGGUGGGAGGCUAGGAGAUGGUAACGCCAGUUGCCAUGGAGCCGCUGUUGGGAUACCACCCUUGCAGUAUUGGGUUUCUAACCAGCCGCCGUGACCCGGCGGUGGGACAAUGCCAGACGGGGAGUUUGACUGGGGCGGUCGCCUCCGAAAGGGUAUCGGAGGCGCCCAAAGGUUCCCUCAGAAUGGACGGAAACCAUUCGAAGAGUGCAAAGGCAGAAGGGAGCUUGACUGCGACACCGACGGGUGGAGCAGGUACGAAAGUAGGGCUUAGUGAUCCGGUGGUAUUAAGUGGGAAUGCCAUCGCUCAACGGAUAAAAGCUACCCUGGGAUAACAGGCUUAUCACUCCCAAGAGUUCACAUCGACGGAGUGGUUUGGCACCUCGAUGUCGGCUCAUCGCAUCCUGGGGCUGUAGUAGGUCCCAAGGGUUGGGCUGUUCGCCCAUUAAAGCGGUACGCGAGCUGGGUUCAGAACGUCGUGAGACAGUUCGGUCCCUAUCCGGCGUGGGCGUAGGAUAUCUGAGAGGAGCUGUCCUUAGUACGAGAGGACCGGGAUGGACGGGCCGCUGGUGCAUCGGUUAGACUGCCAAGUCUACGGCCGAGUAGCCAAGCCCGGAAGGGAUAAACGCUGAAGGCAUCUAAGCGUGAAGCCCCCCUUAAGGUGAGAUAUCCCAUUCGAAAGAAGUAAACCCCCUUGAAGACGACGAGGUAGAUAGGGCAGAGGUGGAAGUGCAGCAAUGCAUGGAGCUGACUGUUACUAAUCGGGUGAGGGCUUGAUC
rnacentral:rRNA from 1 species